rnacentral:rRNA from 1 species
UACAGGGGGUGCAAACGUUGCUCGGAAUUAUUGGGCGUAAAGCGCGCGUAGGCGGCUACUUAAGUCGGAUGUGAAAGCCCUUGGCUCAACUGAGGAAGUGCACCCGAAACUGAGUGGCUUGAGUACUAAAGAGGGUCGCGGAAUUCCCGGUGUAGAGGUGAAAUUCGUAGAUAUCGGGAGGAACACCGGUGGCGAAGGCGGCGACCUGGGUAGAUACUGACGCUGAGGAGCGAAAGCGUGGGGAGCAAACAGG